GAAGAAGAAGAAGAAGAAGAAGAGAAGAAGAAGAAGGAGAAGAAGAAGAAGGAUCAGUUGAAGGGUCCCUUCCCUUGCCCACCGGUUCCUGGAGCUGCCUGUGCCUCACUUGUCUUGCCUAGCAUCUGCAGCAGUCACAACACCUCAAUAGUUACUAGCUGCUGACAGCUGUUCACACUUACCUUUCAUGUGCAGACUCUAACACGGUGCCCAGACUCAGCAUCAGCAGAGUUCAAUAAAUGCUUGUUAAAUUGAA